rnacentral:rRNA from 1 species
GACGGGUGAGUAACGCGUGGGAACGUACCCCUCGGUUCGGAAUAACUCAGGGAAACUUGAGCUAAUACCGGAUACGGCUGAGAGGCGAAAGAUUCAUCGCCGAGGGAUCGGCCCGCGUCCGAUUAGCUAGUUGGUGAGGUAAUGGCUCACCAAGGCGACGAUCGGCAGCUGGUCUGAGAGGAUGAUCAGCCACAUUGGGACUGAGACACGGCCCAAACUCCUACGGGAGGCAGCAGUAGGGAAUAUUGGACAAUGGGCGAAAGCCUGAUCCAGCCAUGCCGCGUGAGUGAUGAAGGCCUUAGGGUUGUAAAGCUCUUUCGUCAGGGACGAUAAUGACGGUACCUGAAGAAGAAGCCCCGGCUAACUUCGUGCCAGCAGCCGCGGUAAUACGAAGGGGGCUAGCGUUGUUCGGAAUCACUGGGCGUAAAGCGCAUGUAGGCGGGCCUUUAAGUCAGGGGUGAAAUGCCAAGGCUCAACCUUGGAACUGCCUUUGAUACUGGAGACCUUGAGUCCGGGAGAGGUGAGUGGAACUGCGAGUGUAGAGGUGAAAUUCGUAGAUAUUCGCAAGAACACCAGUGGCGAAGGCGGCUCACUGGCCCGGUACUGACGCUGAUAUGCGAAAGCGUGGGGAGCAAACAGGAUUAGAUACCCUGGUAGUCCACGCCGUAAACGAUGGAUGCUAGCCGUUAGGCAGCUUGCUGCUUAGUGGCGCAACUAACGCUUUAAGCAUCCCGCCUGGGGAGUACGGUCGCAAGAUUAAAACUCAAAGGAAUUGACGGGGGCCCGCAC